UGGGGAAUUUUGGACAAUGGGCGAAAGCCUGAUCCAGCAAUGCCGCGUGUGUGAAGAAGGCCUUCGGGUUGUAAAGCACUUUUGUCCGGAAAGAAAUCCUUGGCUCUAAUACAGUCGGGGGAUGACGGUACCGGAAGAAUAAGCACCGGCUAACUACGUGCCAGCAGCCGCGGUAAUACGUAGGGUGCAAGCGUUAAUCGGAAUUACUGGGCGUAAAGCGUGCGCAGGCGGUUUGCUAAGACCGAUGUGAAAUCCCCGGGCUCAACCUGGGAACUGCAUUGGUGACUGGCAGGCUAGAGUAUGGCAGAGGGGGGUAGAAUUCCACGUGUAGCAGUGAAAUGCGUAGAGAUGUGGAGGAAUACCGAUGGCGAAGGCAGCCCCCUGGGCAAUACUGACGCUCAUGCACGAAAGCGUGGGGAGCAAACAGGAUUAGAUACCCUGGUAGUCCACGCCCUAAACGAUGUCAACUAGUUGUUGGGAUCAUUCCUUAGUAACGUAGCUAACGCGUGAAGUUGACCGCCUGGGGAGUACGGUCGCAAGAUUAAAACUCAAAUGAAUUGACGGGGUCAUAGCUGUUUCCU
rnacentral:rRNA from 1 species